UACGUAGGGUGCGAGCGUUAAUCGGAAUUACUGGGCGUAAAGCGUGCGCAGGCGGUGAUGUAAGACAGAUGUGAAAUCCCCGGGCUCAACCUGGGAACUGCAUUGUGACUGCAUCGCUGGAGUGCGGCAGAGGGGGAUGGAAUUCCGCGUGUAGCAGUGAAAUGCGUAGAUAUGCGGAGGAACACCGAUGGCGAAGGCAAUCCCCUGGGCGCCUCUGAC
rnacentral:rRNA from 1 species